GGGUUGUGAGGUUAAGCGACUAAGCGUACACGGUGGAUGCCCUGGCAGUCAGAGGCGAUGAAGGACGUGCUAAUCUGCGAAAAGCGUCGGUAAGGUGAUAUGAACCGUUAACCGGCGAUGUCCGAAUGGGGAAACCCAGUGAUUCGUUGCACUAUCGUUAACUGAAUACAUAGGUUAACGAGGCGAACCGGGGGAACUGAAACAUCUAAGUACCCCGAGGAAAAGAAAUCAACCGAGAUUCCCCCAGUAGCGGCGAGCGAACGGGGAGCAGCCCAGAGUCUGAAUCAGCUUGUGUGUUAGUGGAACGGUCUGGAAAGUCCGACGGUACAGGGUGAUAGUCCCGUACACCAAAAUGCACAGGCUGUGAACUCGAAGAGUAGGGCGGGACACGUGGUAUCCUGUCUGAAUAUGGGGGGACCAUCCUCCAAGGCUAAAUACUCCUGACUGACCGAUAGUGAACCAGUACCGUGAGGGAAAGGCGAAAAGAACCCCGGCGAGGGGAGUGAAAAAGAACCUGAAACCGUGUACGUACAAGCAGUGGGAGCACCUUCGGGUGUGACUGCGUACCUUUUGUAUAAUGGGUCAGCGACUUAUAUUCUGUAGCAAGGUUAACCGUAUAGGGGAGCCGCAGGGAAACCGAGUCUUAACUGGGCGUUAAGUUGCAGGGUAUAGACCCGAAACCCGGUGAUCUAGCCAUGGGCAGGUUGAAGGUUGGGUAACACUAACUGGAGGACCGAACCGACUAAUGUUGAAAAAUUAGCGGAUGACUUGUGGCUGGGGGUGAAAGGCCAAUCAAACCGGGAGAUAGCUGGUUCUCCCCGAAAGCUAUUUAGGUAGCGCCUCGUGAACUCAUCUUCGGGGGUAGAGCACUGUUUCGGCUAGGGGGUCAUCCCGACUUACCAACCCGAUGCAAACUACGAAUACCGAAGAAUGUUAUCACGGGAGACACACGGCGGGUGCUAACGUCCGUCGUGAAGAGGGAAACAACCCAGACCGCCAGCUAAGGUCCCAAAGUCAUGGUUAAGUGGGAAACGAUGUGGGAAGGCACAGACAGCCAGGAUGUUGGCUUAGAAGCAGCCAUCAUUUAAAGAAAGCGUAAUAGCUCACUGGUCGAGUCGGCCUGCGCGGAAGAUGUAACGGGGCUAAACCAUGCACCGAAGCUGCGGCAGCGACACUAUGUGUUGUUGGGUAGGGGAGCGUUCUGUAAGCCUGCGAAGGUGUGCUGUGAGGCAUGCUGGAGGUAUCAGAAGUGCGAAUGCUGACAUAAGUAACGAUAAAGCGGGUGAAAAGCCCGCUCGCCGGAAGACCAAGGGUUCCUGUCCAACGUUAAUCGGGGCAGGGUGAGUCGACCCCUAAGGCGAGGCCGAAAGGCGUAGUCGAUGGGAAACAGGUUAAUAUUCCUGUACUUGGUGUUACUGCGAAGGGGGGACGGAGAAGGCUAUGUUAGCCGGGCGACGGUUGUCCCGGUUUAAGCAUGUAGGCUGUUUCCAGGCAAAUCCGGAUAAUCAAGGCUGAGGUGUGAUGACGAGGCACUACGGUGCUGAAGUAACAAAUGCCCUGCUUCCAGGAAAAGCCUCUAAGCAUCAGGUAACAUAAAUCGUACCCCAAACCGACACAGGUGGUCAGGUAGAGAAUACCAAGGCGCUUGAGAGAACUCGGGUGAAGGAACUAGGCAAAAUGGUGCCGUAACUUCGGGAGAAGGCACGCUGGUGUGUAGGUGAAGUCCCUGCGGAUGGAGCUGAGACCAGUCGAAGAUACCAGCUGGCUGCAACUGUUUAUUAAAAACACAGCACUGUGCAAACACGAAAGUGGACGUAUACGGUGUGACGCCUGCCCGGUGCCGGAAGGUUAAUUGAUGGGGUUAUCCGUAAGGAGAAGCUCUUGAUCGAAGCCCCGGUAAACGGCGGCCGUAACUAUAACGGUCCUAAGGUAGCGAAAUUCCUUGUCGGGUAAGUUCCGACCUGCACGAAUGGCGUAAUGAUGGCCAGGCUGUCUCCACCCGAGACUCAGUGAAAUUGAACUCGCUGUGAAGAUGCAGUGUACCCGCGGCAAGACGGAAAGACCCCGUGAACCUUUACUAUAGCUUGACACUGAACAUUGAGCCUUGAUGUGUAGGAUAGGUGGGAGGCUUUGAAGCGUGGACGCCAGUCUGCGUGGAGCCAACCUUGAAAUACCACCCUUUAAUGUUUGAUGUUCUAACGUUGGCCCCUGACCGGGGUUGCGGACAGUGUCUGGUGGGUAGUUUGACUGGGGCGGUCUCCUCCCAAAGCGUAACGGAGGAGCACGAAGGUUAGCUAAUCCUGGUCGGACAUCAGGAGGUUAGUGCAAUGGCAUAAGCUAGCUUGACUGCGAGCGUGACGGCGCGAGCAGGUGCGAAAGCAGGUCAUAGUGAUCCGGUGGUUCUGAAUGGAAGGGCCAUCGCUCAACGGAUAAAAGGUACUCCGGGGAUAACAGGCUGAUACCGCCCAAGAGUUCAUAUCGACGGCGGUGUUUGGCACCUCGAUGUCGGCUCAUCACAUCCUGGGGCUGAAGUAGGUCCCAAGGGUAUGGCUGUUCGCCAUUUAAAGUGGUACGCGAGCUGGGUUUAGAACGUCGUGAGACAGUUCGGUCCCUAUCUGCCGUGGGCGCUGGAGAAUUGAGGGGGGCUGCUCCUAGUACGAGAGGACCGGAGUGGACGCAUCACUGGUGUUCGGGUUGUCAUGCCAAUGGCACUGCCCGGUAGCUAAAUGCGGAAGAGAUAAGUGCUGAAAGCAUCUAAGCACGAAACUUGCCCCGAGAUGAGUUCUCCCUGAGACUUAAGUCUCCUGAAGGAACGUUAAGACGAUGACGUUGAUAGGCCGGGUGUGUAAGCGCAGCGAUGCGUUGAGCUAACCGGUACUAAUGAACCGUGAGGCUUAACCUUACAACGCCGAAG
rnacentral:rRNA from 1 species